UAAUAAACACCUAGCAACUUACUCCAUGGCGUCUGUGUGCAAACAGCUCCCACUGAGCCAGUGAAAACUACUCCCGCAAGAAUUCCAUUAGAUCCUUUUCCGCCUCGGCCUCCCAGAGCACUCCACAAACGAAGCACCAAGAGCCACUGUGGUAAAUGGAGUUGUGCUGCAUCAGUGACCCCACAGACCCAAGGGAAGAGGCAGUUCCUGCUGUGAAGAGUGGGCAGUGGGCACAGAUGGGAGAGAUAUUCAGUUACUCACAUGGAGAAGCAGAGCAAUUUGGAAUAGGAAGAAUAUGGGAGAGAUUUAGCUCUGGGCUGCAGGAAUAUUCCCACACUGCAUGGGAGAAGCAGGUUGGACCUGCUGCAUAGAUACCGUAUGAAUCCUGGUGACUUUUGCAGACCACCAGACUCUUCCCUUGUACUCAUCCUUUAUUACAGAAAUAAAUGCACCUUAAAAAGCGUAAAGGCUUCAAUCAAUUAUAAAACAUACCGCAAAUAAAUAAGAAUCCAGUACCUCUAAAUACUUUUCAAAAGAGAAAGGAAUGUAUAUCUGACUUCAUGAGAGACAAAACACAUGGCUCAUUCUGUGUACUUUCCAUCAAUAUAUACCAACACAGCAGGUAUGUUCCCUGUGCCUUGAAAGAGGCACCGCAUAAGAUUAGGUGGUCAUUUUUGUAGCAUGCCUUGUAUUUCCUGCUCACAAGGGAGGGUGUGACUGUCCAGCUUUAUGAAUGAAUAAUGUCAGUGUUUGAUUGAUUCAUGGGCAGCCUGCUGAAGCUGAUGUCAUUCAAUAAAUGCGAAAAUAGAUGCCAAAAUUAAA